rnacentral:lncRNA from 1 species
GCAACAAACUAACUUACUUUUCUUUUGUUGUUGUUGUGUAUUUUUGUUGUUUUCUUUUGUUUUAGGAAAACACUUCUUCCUUUCAAGUUUUAUAGUUUUUUAUAAAACGCAUCCUGAUCACAAUUUUGAGAAUCACCCUUUCUAUCUGCAAUGCUGCUGGACUCUGACUUUCAAGCCUCGUAGCUUAGAUUUACUUUCUAAAGUGGAACAGACAGCUCUCGAAUCUGCAGGGGAUUGGUUCCAGGACCCCCUCGCAGAUGCUAAAAUCCAUGGAUGCUCAAGCCACUUCUAUAACACGGUGGUACAGUCAGCCCUCUGUACCCGCGGAUCCACACCCAGGAUUCUACACCCCUCCCCGAUUCUCCCCACCAGGAAUACGGGGGGCCAACUCUAGCUUCCUAGAAGGUAAAUCUUUCUUCAGGUGUCAGAACCAUUUUCAAAUGAUGCCCAUGACAUUUCCUGGAAUUUUCUCACUUUAAGCUGUUCCAUGCCCAUAUUCCUGCUCCAUCUCGAUUGUUAAAUGAUCUCUGAAGCCCUUGUUGUGUUGGUCCAGUUGUGUGGUAUUUUUGCCCUUGGUGAAAAAUCAAAUUUUAAAAAAUGAACCAGCCUGGAUAUUGUCCAUCAGUAGAAUCGCCGUGACCUUCUGUAGUGAUAACCUUUUUAAUUUGUUUAAAUCAAAAAUGACAUGGAGCAAUCAGAGGACUGUUCUGCAUUUGUGAACAUGUUUUUUAAACCUGACCUUCUCUAAUAUAAGCCCUCUUUUCGAUUCUUUCUGGACGUUUGUUUUAUCGACAUUUGCUUAUUUCUUUGCCUUACUACACGUUUAGGGUCAAUUUAAAAUUGGUGCUUGUUGUAAGCAGAUCUAUACAACCAUUUGUAGUUUUGAUACUUUGAUAAGUCGCCGAAUUAUCAUGUUUGGAGUUCGGACCAUGAUGCUUCUGCUGCUGAGGGUGAGCAGACAAGGUUCAGCAGAGUGGCUGCCGCCCCCCGGGGGGCUCCCCCCAAGUUUAAACAGUUCAAGUUUAUUGACUUUUUGUAUCGAUAACUAUAGAAAUUGGUAAUAAAAAUGUAUACUAUAGGCUUCAGUGUUUACAGAAAUGUUACCAAAAAGCUGUAUUUUCUUGGAUGAGAGGUCAGGAUUUAGGAACAACAGAAUGCUGUGCGAACGGAAUCGUUUUACAAUUGAGUGCAACUUCAUCAUAACUCACAAGGUAAAUUUAAUCCAAAUAGAAAUUUUCUUUUAACUGAGUUUAUAAUUAACUGUGAAUUUACUUGUUUUUAAUGGUUAUUAAUAUUUUAAUCGGGUAUCCUUGUUAAGCAAAAACAGUAAACGGUAUACAUGU